GUCCUCUCUGGUAUAGCAAUUGAGGUUGCUGCAGACUCUUUAGGUAGACUAGCACCCUCAUCAGCAAGAAAUGAUGUCUCAAGAGAUAGAUGAUAUGCAGCAAAUACAGCAUACUGAACGACCUUCUUCAGCUUCUUGAGCUCUUCACGACAUGAGCCCCUCAGCAAAACCGUGCAACCUAAACGCCUGGGACAACCAUCAAAAAACAUCAGAGUUUUUGAUGUCCUUUUGUUCAAUUGGUUGGCAUGUUCAUGCUCUUCAGAUACUUUUUCUAAGUGGAAGAGUUCACAAUGUCCCAAUCUUGUUGUGGCUAUGUUAUCAAUGGAUGGGGUUAUAAGAGCACCAGUGCACCUGGCUACUCGCUCUAGCAGUGGCACCUUAACAUUCAACACCAAAGAGAUCUCUUUUUCCAAUAGAAGCUCCUGAGCAUAUGAAGAUACACUUUUCUCCACAAGUAGCACAUUAGGAUGAUGGGCCUCUAUUCUU
rnacentral:misc_RNA from 1 species